UACGGGGGGCGCAAGCGUUGUUCGGAUUUACUGGGCGUAAAGGGCGCGUAGGCGGCCAACUAAGUCAGACGUGAAAUCCCUCGGCUCAACCGGGGAACUGCGUCUGAUACUGGAUGGCUUGAAUUCGGGAGAGGGAUGCGGAAUUCCAGGUGUAGCGGUGAAAUGCGUAGAUAUCUGGAGGAACACCGGUGGCGAAGGCGGCAUCCUGGACCGAGAUUGACGCUGAUGCGCGAAAGCGUGGGGAGCGAACAGG
rnacentral:rRNA from 1 species